rnacentral:rRNA from 1 species
CAGUCGCCACGGUAAUACGUAGGGUGCGAGCGUUAAUUGGAAUUACUGGGCGUAAAGCGUGCGCAGGCGGUUGUGUAAGACAGGUGUGAAAUCCCCGGGCUCAACCUGGGAACUGCGCUUGUGACUGCACAGCUAGAGUAUGGCAGAGGGGGGUGGAAUUCCACGUGUAGCAGUGAAAUGCGUAGAGAUGUGGAGGAACACCGAUGGCGAAGGCAGCCCCCUGGGCCAAUACUGACGCUCAUGCACGAAAGCGUGGGGAGCAAACAGGAUUAGAUACCCGUGUAGUCCCUGUCUCUUAUAC